CGGGACGGGGUGAGUAAUGUCUGGGAAACUGCCCGAUGGAGGGGGGUAACUACUGGAAACGGUAGCUAAUACCGCAUAACGUCGCAAGACCAAAGAGGGGGACCUUAGGGCCUCUUGCCAUCGGAUGUGCCCAGAUGGGAUUAGCUAGUAGGUGGGGUAAUGGCUCACCUAGGCGACGAUCCCUAGCUGGUCUGAGAGGAUGACCAGCCACACUGGAACUGAGACACGGUCCAG
rnacentral:rRNA from 1 species